CACGUAGGGUGCGAGCGUUGUCCGGAAUUAUUGGGCGUAAAGAGCUCGUAGGCGGUGUGUCACGUCGGCCGUGAAAACCUGCAGCUUAACUGUGGGCGUGCGGUCGAUACGGGCAUCACUGGAGUUCGGCAGGGGAGACUGGAAUUCCUGGUGUAGCGGUGAAAUGCGCAGAUAUCAGGAGGAACACCGGUGGCGAAGGCGGAUCUCUGGGCCUUACCUGACGCUCAGGCACGCAAGCUAGGGGAGCGAACAGG
rnacentral:rRNA from 1 species